GGUUAACGUCCUACUCCGACUGAGCUAUUGAAGACGGACAUCGCCAAGUACGCAAUGAUCGAUGAGAAUAAAUCCAGAUGUACCGAGAACAUUUUAUAAAGUCUACACGUGCCUAUUCCUGGAAAUGUUCUAGCCUAUUGGAAUCAAAGCAUUGAAUUGCUGGAAUAGAACGAUUCAGAUCAGUCUCCAGUCUAUAUGGGUGACAUUAUUUGGUAGGUUGGUUUCUUUCUUGGCGUGACAAAGAUUAAGGAAGAAGUUACAGCGAAACGAAGUAUAAUAUACCCACGACUGAAUAUAGUCUACUAGAAUAUGUUUUGCCGACCACGUGUUUGUUGCUUUCUCCUGGUUGUAUUAAGUGUAGUUCUUGUAAUGGUGCUGAUAUUUGUCUACCGGAAUCAUCAAACAGGCCACCGCCAUUAUCUCAUUGAUAGAUUAUCGAAAGUUAUUGGAAUAAAGUCUAACGAAAUAGAGAAAUCUGCUAUCCCAACUUUGCCGUUUCGAUAUAAAAUUCAUGCUACUGAUCAACAAGUGAUUAACAAUAACACUGCAAAAACAGCGUAAUAAUAAUUGAUGGGGAAAAAGCUAUGAAUUGUGUUCCAUUUGCUUGAAAACGAAAUGAAACGUCGCUUUAAUUAAAAUGGUAACUGUGUUCCAUAUUAUGUUUUUCUGUUCAUUACAUGUGUCAAUUGCUAAAUGCCACUCAAUGAAGAGUGAUCUAUUAGUGACGAUUCAAUGAUGGAAUAGACCAAUAAACUAUAACACAUAUUUAAAGGAGCUAAAUCGCUAAUAUUUUGGAUCUAGAAAUUGACACAAAUGGGUCGCAACGUAUAUAAUAAUGUAAUGUGAAUGUAUAUAAACUGAUUUACAUUCAAUCGUUUCUGUUUUUACUGCAAUUUCUAAUCAGUUAUGUUUGGCGAAAUACGCCAGAAGUCUCAAUCGAAUGGCAAUCUCUAGCUUCUGGAAUAGACCAAUAAACUAUAUAUCCUAUUGCUGAUUUA